rnacentral:rRNA from 1 species
UACGUAGGUGACAAGCGUUGUCCGGAUUUACUGGGCGUAAAGAGCGCGCAGGCGGUCGUUCAAGUCGAGUGUGAAAGCCCCCGGCUCAACUGGGGAGGGUCAUUCGAUACUGAUCGACUCGAAGGCAGGAGAGGGAUGUGGAAUUCCAGGUGUAGCGGUGAAAUGCGUAGAUAUGCGGAGGAACACCGAUGGCGAAGGCAAUCCCCUGGGCCUGCACUGACGCUCAUGCACGAAAGCGUGGGGAGCAAACAGG